GGGGGAUUGGUGUAAUUGGUAACACGCGCCGCUAGCACCGGCGAGAUAACAGGAUCGAUGCCUGUAUCCUCCA
rnacentral:tRNA from 1 species